rnacentral:tRNA from 1 species
UUCCAGUUAGUCUAGUGGUUAGAUCUUUGGAUUGCCAAUCCGGAGAAGGCGGGUUCAAUUCCCGUUCUGGCGA